rnacentral:rRNA from 1 species
UACGAGGGGGGCAAGCGUUGUUCGGAAUUACUGGGUGUAAAGGGUUCGUAGGCGGUUCGGCAAGUCGGGAGUGAAAUCUCUGGGCUUAACCCAGAGGCUGCUUCCGAAACUGCUGUGCUUGAGUGUGGGAGAGGCGCGUGGAAUUGCAGGUGUAGCGGUGAAAUGCGUAGAUAUCUGCAGGAACACCCGUGGCGAAAGCGGCGCGCUGGACCACUACUGACGCUGAGUGAACGAAAGCUAGGGGAGCAAACAGG